UAUUUUGACUGUCUGAUGCCGUUUUUGAACAAUACUCCGCACGUACCAGGACCUCCUCGACCUAUUGCCACUAAAGUUUCCGAAGAGCAUGGUGUAAAGAGAAAGUUCGAAGAAAUGGCAGGAAUUGUACCACCAAUGAAAAAAGUUUUCGAUGGCUCUUUCCGUGUUGCGCCGUCUAUCGUCAUCCCCGAGACCGCCAUCACAGAAACUCUUUUUGUUCCGGAUCAUAUGGUUGGUCUGUUGAUUGGAGCAAGUGGCCAGCACAUAAUGGCCUUACAGAAUGAAACAUCAACUAAAAUUGAGGUUGCACCUAAUAGUUACGGUAAACCAAGAGCGGUCACUUUGACUGGCUUGCAGGAAAAUAUCAAUGAAGUUAGAAACAGGAUUCAAGCUCUAAUCGAUCAGCAUGGCGGCGGAGAAGGUGAGGCCAAUGACGUUGAAACAAUUGAUGUAGUUAUUCCAGCUGCAAAAGCUGGCCUGAUAAUCGGAUCUCAAGGAGCAACUAUCAAACAAUUGAUGGCGGAAAGCAAUGCAAAAAUGUAUUUAAUACAAGAGACUAACCAAAAUAAUGGCAUUGACAAGCCAUUGAAAAUCACCGGAACCAAGGAGGCAGUGCAGAAAGCGCGAACAUUAGUUCUGGAUUUGAUAAAUCAAGGCUCUGGUGGAGCUCCUCCGUAUGUUGAGAUCCCUGUGCCCAAAGCAGCAGUUGGGUUAAUUAUUGGGAAUGGAGGCGCUACCAUCAAAAAGAUGCAAGAUGAUUAUAACGUAAGGAUUCAGUUCAAACCGGACAUACCAUCCCAAGACCCUGGUACAAAGAUAUGUCAAAUUUUGGGUGAUCCGGAUAAUUACCAGAAUUGUGCACAGAAGAUUCUGGAAAUGGUUGCGUCAAUGGAGGGAAAGAAAGAUGGAGGUGGUCAUCAUCACCAUGGUGGUCAUCACGAUCACGGCGAUCAACUGGCCAAUCAAUAUAGUGCACCAAUGGAUAAUUCUCAAACAGUCGUUCAGAUGUCUGUUCCUGCUUCUAAAGCUGGUCUUGUUAUUGGCAAGAAUGGAGAAGUUAUACGUCUUCUAAAGAUGCAAAGUGGUGCGAAUAUUGAGUUAGACCGUCAUGCAAAAGCGAACACCAGCAGUGACCGAGUGAGGAUCUUCAAGAUUUCGGGAAAUCAGUACCAGACUGCUAAGGCGCAGCAUCUGAUUAAGCAGAUUGUAGGAGAAGUUCCGAAACAUCAGAGAUUUAUGUCUCAGCAAGAGUUCAUGCAGCAGAAUCAACAAGGUGGAGGCAAUCAUCAAAUGAUGGGGCAACAGAUGAUGCCGCAGAACCAGAUGCAGUAUAUGGGUAUGAUGGGACAGCAAGGAGGAGGCAUGGAUCCGAUGCAGCAAAUGGGAGCGAUGGGUGGAGGGUAUCCCGGAGGAGCUCCCGGAGGCAUGAUGCCGAAUUCUGGAAAUCCGGCUGCCGGAUGGAUGAACCCUGCAGCGGGAGGAAUGCCACCGCAGAAUAUGAUGAUGCCAGGUGGAGCAGGAGGAUCAGGAGGUAACCCGUACGAGCAGUGGUCUCAGUGGAUGCAGAGCUUCCAGAAGCAGGCAGCAGGUCAACCAGACUACAUGAAUCAGUACAUGGACUACAUGAAGAAAUACAUGGAACAGAUGGGGCAGCAAAGUGGACAGAACUACUCGAAGGAGCAGAUUGAGAUGUGGAUGAAUUACAUGAAGAGCAUGAUGGGCGGAAGUGGAGCGUCAUCAGGUGGCAAUCCAGCGGGGGGUUCCGGGGCUCCUUCGAUGCCGGGUGGGGGCAGUCAGCCUAACUGGUCAAUGCCCAGUGGAAGCGCCGGAACAUCGGCUGGACAACCCUCGAGUUCCGGGUCUCAGAACCCGAUGGAAGCCAUGGAGCAGUGGCAGCGGUUCUACCAGCAGAUGCAGCAGCAAUAACUUCACACUAUUUUUUUGAUAUGAUAGGGCGCCUCUGACCGAAGUCUUCAUGGAAGUAAUCUUAACGGAAACUGUUGCGAAACUCGAGGAAAUUGUGAAUUGUAGAUAAAUAUUGCGAUUUGGGUUUUUUAUCCGUGAAUGCUAUCGAUUUGGAUUGGAUUAAAUCGAUUUGAAUAUGAAUUAGUUUGGAGAGUUUUGAUCUUGAGCAUCAUGAGUUGCUGUUUUUCUCUUUGAUAGAUACGAUUUAUCUGUACAUAGUACUUUUAAACAUAUUUGUACGUUACGCUCGCUAAAUUUUCUUUAGGUUUGUUUUCUUGAUAGUUCACAUAAUUUGGGUUAAAAAAAACUGUUUCUGUCAAAGUUGUUGUACAAACUCUUUCGAGAUGCCGAUUUAAAAUUUAAAUUUUCUCUUUUUCAACUUUUACUAUCUUGCGUUAAGUGAUGGCCAUGAAAAUUAUUCUAUUUUAUUUAAUAAAGUUUACUAAUUAUGAAUCACUCAUUUUGAUCAGCAUUUAAACGUUUAGAUUGAUAUUUUAAAUGAUGAAUUCUAUGGCGUGUUAUUAAAAUUUGAUGAAAAAACGUGUUGGUUUCUCAGCCUGUAAAUAGAUAUUUUUGAGCUGAUUAUUUUAUUACUAAAUAUUUUAUUUCAAAAUAAGUAUGAUUCAUAAGUUUAUUUUGAUGGCCUGAAUUGAAAUUGUUUUGGAAUUUUGAUGCAUAAAUUAGCUAGCGUUAGUUUUAAAUUGUUUUUGAUUUAUUAAAAAUUUGGUUGAUUUUUUGAAAUUUGAUUUGAUAAAAUAUCGGGAAGGAAAUCUGCGAGAAAAUGGGAGUGUAUCGUCACAUUGCAUUGCAUUCGGUUUGCAAAAAAGAAACAGUCAUCAAUUCUAUUCUGAGCGGAAUUGAUAGUCGGCAGCGAGAAAUCAAAACAAGAUGGCCAAAUCGACUGAAAAAAAUACAUACAGAAAACAACGUUUCAGCUCUUCAACAAACUCAAAACUUACUUCAAACUGCGUUUAUGAAAUCAGAUUGCUAUUCGAUGUUCAGCAGAGAUCUUAUUUUUCAUAACUAAUUUCUGAUUUGUUAGCGAUAAAGUUUUGGGUGUAUUUUUUUCGGGGCGUAUUUAAAUGGAUGUUUUACGUUAUUGUGUAUCAGUGUAUCUUAAUUUAAAGGGACUUUUCUUGUUAACUUCCAAUCCCUAUCUGAUCUACAAGAAAAGCUCUUAUAAUUGAAUAUUAUUUUAAAAAAAUGAAAGAGACACGAGCAUGUUCAAUUAUUGUUUGAGUGGUUUUGAAAAAGUUGUUGUUGUAAUCUUUGCAUAGCAAUUCAAAGUUUAUUUUUCA